rfam:Triticum aestivum genome assembly, contig: Triticum_aestivum_CS42_TGACv1_scaffold_641317_T_2BS-0.172746_2BL-0.152234
UACAUACUCCCUCCGUCCGAAAAUACUUGUCAUCAAAAUGGAUAAUCCAUUUUGAUGACAAGUAUUUCCGGACGGAGGGAGUAGCAU